rnacentral:rRNA from 1 species
AGCAGCCGCGGUAAUUCCAGCUCCAAUAGCGUAUAUUAAAGUUGUUGCAGUUAAAAAGCUCGUAGUUGAAUUUCGGGAUUGACACAUCGGUCGUGCCUUAAGGGGUAUGAACUGGUGUAGUCAAUUUCUCACCUUCUGGAGAACCGCGAUGCCCUUAAUUGGGUGUCGCGGGGAACCAGGACCUUUACUUUGAAAAAAUUUAGAGUGUUUAAAGCAGGCAUUUUGCUUGAAUACAUUAGCAUGGAAUAAUAAAAUAGGACGGCAUGAUUCUAUUUUGUUGGUUUCUAGGAUCACCGUAAUGAUUAAUAGGGAUAGUUGGGGGCAUUAGUAUUCAAUUGUCAGAGGUGAAAUUCUUGGAUUUAUUGAAGACUAACUACUGCGAAAGCAUUUGCCAAGGAUGCUUUCAUUAAUCAAGAACGAAAGUUAGGGGAUCGAAGACGAUCAGAUACCGUCGUAGUCUUAACCAUAAACUAUGCCGACUAGGAAUCAGACGAUGUUAAUUUUUUAAUGAUUCGUUUGG